UUGGGUGCCACUGCAAAACGCCACCUGACAGUUCCAAGCACAGAUUCAUUGGGCAAAGCAAACGAAAGAGUCCAUUCUUAAAACCGUCAUGUGACGCUUCUCUUUGCAGCACCUUUUCCGCUUACCAAAGACGCCAGAGCUGUUCUUCACUUUUAGAAGCCUACGUACCCUUUCCUACAGUCAUACUUUAUGGAAAUGGUAUGACGCCUCGAAUGGCCUUCGGCUUGUUUUUGGGCGACAUCCGAAAGUCCCCAAAAGAAUUAGAUUAGCAAUUGCGCGAAAAGGGGUAGUUUUACAAGGAAGAGCAACAACAACCCAACUAGCUACACAUUAACAACGUUUAAUUUGUUCGACUAUUCCUUAAGUAUGUAUAUUUAAGUUUACAGUCGUAAACGGUAACGAUAACACCAAUCAUCAACAACAAUCAUCAAGCUAUAACUUUAAGUUUAGCAAUACCUUGCUUGAAAAGCUCCCAUCAGAAAAGUGUGAUGCACCGACAGCUUUAAACUGUUUGGCUGCGUAUCCAAACAUUCUGUAUUUCUUUCUUAUGGUGACAAAUACUUGCAAUCAUUUGAACUGAACAACUGUAGACAAAAUGGGUUUACAUGUUUCAAUAUCUUUUUGGUAAUAGACAUUUCUGUACAAUUAGCACACAUGGCAGCACAACAAAACAAUGUUAAUAAUUAUAAAUUGUCGCUUAUUUGAUUACUCAAGAGUAAGGUAAUGUUUGCAUAUUUUUGUUAUGAGUGCAGCUUUUUAUAUACAAGAACAGCCAAUCGAAAUCCGACGAAAGCUUAUGAAAGGUCAAGCUACA
rnacentral:lncRNA from 1 species